rnacentral:rRNA from 1 species
GAUGAACGCUAGCGGGAGGCCUAACACAUGCAAGCCGAGCGGUAUUGUUUCUUCGGAAAUGAGAGAGCGGCGUACGGGUGCGGAACACGUGUGCAACCUGCCUUUAUCUGGGGGAUAGCCUUUCGAAAGGAAGAUUAAUACUCCAUAAUAUAUUGAACGGCAUCGUUUAAUAUUGAAAGCUCCGGCGGAUAGAGAUGGGCACGCGCAAGAUUAGCUAGUUGGUGAGGUAACGGCUCACCAAGGCGAUGAUCUUUAGGGGGCCUGAGAGGGUGAUCCCCCACACUGGUACUGAGACACGGACCAGACUCCUACGGGAGGCAGCAGUGAGGAAUAUUGGUCAAUGGGUGCAAGCCUGAACCAGCCAUCCCGCGUGAAGGACGACUGCCCUAUGAGUUGUAAACUUCUUUUGUAUAGGGAUAAACCUACCCUCGUGAGGGUAGCUGAAGGUACUAUACGAAUAAGCACCGGCUAACUCCGUGCCAGCAGCCGCGGUAAUACGGAGGGUGCAAGCGUUAUCCGGAUUUAUUGGGUUUAAAGGGUCCGUAGGCGGACUUAUAAGUCAGUGGUGAAAGCCUGUCGCUUAACGAUAGAACUGCCAUUGAUACUGUAGGUCUUGAGUAUAUUUGAGGUAGCUGGAAUAAGUAGUGUAGCGGUGAAAUGCAUAGAUAUUACUUAGAACACCAAUUGCGAAGGCAGGUUACCAAGAUAUAACUGACGCUGAGGGACGAAAGCGUGGGGAGCGAACAGGAUUAGAUACCCUGGUAGUCCACGCCGUAAACGAUGCUAACUCGUUUUUGGGCUUUAGGGUUCAGAGACCAAGCGAAAGUGACAAGUUAGCCACCUGGGGAGUACGCUCGCAAGAGUGAAACUCGAAGGAAUUGACGGGGGCCCGCACAAGCGGUGGAUUAUGUGGUUUAAUUCGAUGAUACGCGAGGAACCUUACCAAGACUUAAAUGGGAAUUGACAGCUUUAGAAAUAGAGCUUUCUUCGGACAAUUUUCAAGGUGCUGCAUGGUUGUCGUCAGCUCGUGCCGUGAGGUGUUAGGUUAAGUCCUGCAACGAGCGCAACCCCUGUCACUAGUUGCCAUCAUUCAGUUGGGGACUCUAGUGAGACUGCCUACGCAAGUAGAGAGGAAGGUGGGGAUGACGUCAAAUCAUCACGGCCCUUACGUCUUGGGCCACACACGUAAUACAAUGGCCGGUACAGAGGGCAGCUACACAGCGAUGUGAUGCAAAUCUCGAAAGCCGGUCUCAGUUCGGAUUGGAGUCUGCAACUCGACUCUAUGAAGCUGGAAUCGCUAGUAAUCGCGCAUCAGCCAUGGCGCGGUGAAUACGUUCCCGGGCCU